AAGGAUUUAAGUUAAACCAAACUAAUAGCCUUCAAAGCUUUAAAUAGAGAUAUAAGCUUUAAGCCUUA
rnacentral:tRNA from 1 species